AUUGAACGCUGGCGGCAUGCUUUACACAUGCAAGUCGAACGGCAGCGCGGGCUUCGGCCUGGCGGCGAGUGGCGAACGGGUGAGUAAUACAUCGGAACGUGCCCAGUAGUGGGGGAUAGCUCGGCGAAAGCCGGAUUAAUACCGCAUACGACCUGAGGGUGAAAGCGGGGGAUCUUCGGACCUCGCGCUAUUGGAGCGGCCGAUGGCAGAUUAGCUAGUUGGUGGGGUAAAGGCCUACCAAGGCGACGAUCUGUAGCUGGUCUGAGAGGACGGCCAGCCACCCUGGAACUGGGCCACGGCCCAGACUCCUACGGGAGGCAGCAGUGGGGAAUGUUGGACAAUGGGCGAAAGCCUGAUCCAGCAAUGCCGCGUGUGUGAUGAAGGCCUUCGGGUUGUAAAGCACUUUUGGCGGGAACGAAAAGGACUGUGCCAAUACCACGGUUCGAUGACGGUACCCGCAGAAUAAGCACCGGCUAACUACGUG
rnacentral:rRNA from 1 species